UAGCGGAGGAAAAGAAACCAACAGGGAUUGCCCUAGUAACGGCGAGUGAAGCGGCAACAGCUCAAAUUUGAAAUCUGGCCCUCGGGUCCGAGUUGUAAUUUGUAGAGGAUGCUUUUGGUGCGGUACCUUCCGAGUUCCCUGGAACGGGACGCCAUAGAGGGUGAGAGCCCCGUCUGGUUGGAUGCCAAUCCUCUGUAAAGCUCCUUCGACGAGUCGAGUAGUUUGGGAAUGCUGCUCUAAAUGGGAGGUAUAUGUCUUCUAAAGCUAAAUAUUGGCCAGAGACCGAUAGCGCACAAGUAGAGUGAUCGAAAGAUGAAAAGCACUUUGAAAAGAGAGUUAAAAAGCACGUGAAAUUGUUGAAAGGGAAGCGCUUAUGACCAGACUUGGGCUUGGUUGAUCAUCCGGCGUUCUCGCCGGUGCACUCUUCCGGCUCAGGCCAGCAUCAGUUUGCUUCGGGGGAUAAAGGCUUUGGGAAUGUGGCUCCCUCGGGAGUGUUAUAGCCCACUGUGUAAUACCCUGGAGCGGACUGAGGUACGCGUUCUGCAAGGAUGCUGGCGUAAUGGUCAUCAGUGACCCGUCUUGAAACACGGACCAAGGAGUCGUCUUCGUAUGCGAGUGUUCGGGUGUCAAACCCCUACGCGUAAUGAAAGUGAACGCAGGUGAGAGCUUCGGCGCAUCAUCGACCGAUCCUGAUGUUCUCGGAUGGAUUUGAGUAAGAGCAUACGGGGCCGGACCCGAAAGAAGGUGAACUAUGCCUGUGUAGGGUGAAGCCAGAGGAAACUCUGGUGGAGGCUCGCAGCGGUUCUGACGUGCAAAUCGAUCGUCAAACAUGGGCAUGGGGGCGAAAGACUAAUCGAACCUUCUAGUAGCUGG
rnacentral:rRNA from 1 species